rnacentral:rRNA from 1 species
AUGCAGUCGAGCGGAAACGAGUUAUCUGAACCUUCGGGGAACGAUAACGGCGUCGAGCGGCGGACGGGUGAGUAAUGCCUAGGAAAUUGCCCUGAUGUGGGGGAUAACCAUUGGAAACGAUGGCUAAUACCGCAUAACGCCUACGGGCCAAAGAGGGGGACCUUCGGGCCUCUCGCGUCAGGAUAUGCCUAGGUGGGAUUAGCUAGUUGGUGAGGUAAGGGCUCACCAAGGCGACGAUCCCUAGCUGGUCUGAGAGGAUGAUCAGCCACACUGGAACUGAGACACGGUCCAGACUCCUACGGGAGGCAGCAGUGGGGAAUAUUGCACAAUGGGCGCAAGCCUGAUGCAGCCAUGCCGCGUGUGUGAAGAAGGCCUUCGGGUUGUAAAGCACUUUCAGUCGUGAGGAAGGUAGUGUAGUUAAUAGCUGCAUUAUUUGACGUUAGCGACAGAAGAAGCACCGGCUAACUCCGUGCCAGCAGCCGCGGUAAUACGGAGGGUGCGAGCGUUAAUCGGAAUUACUGGGCGUAAAGCGCAUGCAGG